UUUGGAGAGUUUGAUCCUGGCUCAGGACGAACGCUGGCGGCGUGCCUAAUACAUGCAAGUCGAGCGGAUCUUAUCCUUCGGGAUAAGCUUAGCGGCGGACGGGUGAGUAACACGUAGGCAACCUACCCUCUAGACUGGGAUAACUACCGGAAACGGUAGCUAAUACCGGAUAAUUCCUUCACCCUCAUGGGCGAGGGAUGAAAGGCGGAGCAAUCUGCUACUAGAGGAUGGGCCUGCGGCGCAUUAGCUAGUUGGUGGGGUAACGGCCUACCAAGGCGACGAUGCGUAGCCGACCUGAGAGGGUGAACGGCCACACUGGGACUGAGACACGGCCCAGACUCCUACGGGAGGCAGCAGUAGGGAAUCUUC
rnacentral:rRNA from 2 species